CUUGUCAGCAUUUUGUCUCGGCUUCUUUGCCUAGCUCAGCCUCUUAACAGAAGGUCUUUCUUUUCAGGUUCUGCAGUUCUUAUGCACUGUUUCAGAAGGCAAUUUGCCAUUUUAUAUUACUCUUCUGGAUAAGACAGGUAAGAACUUCAUCUAUACUUGUGAUGAUUAUAGUUUUCAAAGUUUCAAUCAAGAUACUUUCAGCACCAUUUUGGAAAUUUUAAAAUUUUACUCUUGCAUUUCCCAUCCUUGAAUCUUUACUGACAGUAUGAUCUGAUCUUUAAUGCAUCUUCACCAAAAAAGCUACUUAUGCAUAAGAAAUUUGUCAUGUUACUCAGAUAACUAAUUUCUUAGAUCAGGGCAGUAGGCCCACAGGAAUUUUGUCUUUGUUUUUGUUUUUUCUGAUUAAUUUUUUUAGUUUUCCUCUAGCUAGCUUAGUUUAUAUUAAAUUAAAUGCGGCUCUAGUGCUUCUUUCUCUGUCUACUUUGUUUCUCUCAAUGCUCGUCACUUUCACUGGAAGAUGUUCUAAGAAUCUUCUGCUUCUUUUUCAGGUUUCCUGAGCCACUUUCAAAUUAAUUAGGCAGUGUAAUUUCUCCUUGUGUAUCUCCACACCUGAUCCUUAGUUUGACAAUUUUUACACAGGCUGUGUAACACUUUUGAAUAAAAGCAUAAAAUUAUUUUAGGUUAGAGAUAUCACGACAGGUUCUCUAAAAGAGGAAAUAGGGCCUGCAGACAUGUUGUGUGUCUUUUUCUCCUAGCAGGCUUUUUUUUUUUUUUUUUUGAUGCAGCCGGAAGAUGUGAUUGAUGUUGAACUGCUGAAAUGCCUUAAAUCAGUUGCCUCAUUUUAAUGCUAUACUCUGGAAAUACAACAUCCAAAAGACAGAGCUUUUUUGACCUGAAAGCUAAAGCAUAAUAUUUUAUUUUGGCCCAAUAAAAGGCAUUGCAUUAUCUACCUUGUCAGUAGACACUGACAUUCAUGGUGCUUGGCCCUUAUCCUAGGAUGCAUAAAGUGCUCUUGGUAAAUUACUUAUGAAAAGGCUGGCUAGACAACAGGCACAGUGACAGCAGAAUAUCUCUCUUCCCUGGCUCAUUCGAACAGGAGAUGGUGUGUUUAGCUUUUCCAGUGCGGGGUGUUUCGGGAUGAUUACUGUAAUUGAAUCUGGUAGCAGACACAUUUGUGGCUCUGCAGAUGCUGUAAAAUAGUGUUUAAUGUUUUCUGUCAUGAGUCUCUUCCAGAACCCCCCACCUCUUCCCAUCCAGAGGAAUGGAUUACCCAGCUGAGACUUUUUCCAAUAACUGUGCAAGAAUGCAGAAUGAAUCAGAACAGUAAUUUACAUUUCAUUUGAAUGCAGGUGGUAUGUUGUGUGCCAAAGCUUUGGACUUACCUCUUACAAUGUAAUAUAACUUUGGAACAAUUGUACAGAAAGACCAAGCCUGUAACAAGUAAAGAUUAGAAAAUA